AACGAACGCUGGCGGCAGGCUUAACACAUGCAAGUCGAACGGAUCCUUCGGGAUUAGUGGCAGACGGGUGAGUAACGCGUGGGAACGUACCCUUUGCUACGGAAUAACUCAGGGAAACUUGAGCUAAUACCGUAUGUGCCCUACGGGGGAAAGAUUUAUCGGCAAAGGAUCGGCCCGCGUUGGAUUAGCUAGUUGGUGGGGUAAUGGCCUACCAAGGCGACGAUCCAUAGCUGGUCUGAGAGGAUGAUCAGCCACACUGGGACUGAGACACGGCCCAGACUCCUACGGGAGGCAGCAGUGGGGAAUAUUAGACAAUGGGCGCAAGCCUGAUCCAGCCAUGCCGCGUGAGUGAUGAAGGUCUUAGGAUUGUAAAGCUCUUUCACCGGUGAAGAUAAUGACGGUAGCCGGAGAAGAAGCCCCGGCUAACUUCGUG
rnacentral:rRNA from 1 species